UUGAACGCUGGCGGCAGGCCUAACACAUGCAAGUCGAGCGGUAACAGAAAGUAGCUUGCUACUUUGCUGACGAGCGGCGGACGGGUGAGUAAUGCUUGGGAACAUGCCUUGAGGUGGGGGACAACAGUUGGAAACGACUGCUAAUACCGCAUAAUGUCUACGGACCAAAGGGGGCUUCGGCUCUCGCCUUUAGAUUGGCCCAAGUGGGAUUAGCUAGUUGGUGAGGUAAUGGCUCACCAAGGCAACGAUCCCUAGCUGGUUUGAGAGGAUGAUCAGCCACACUGGAACUGAGACACGGUCCAGACUCCUACGGGAGGCAGCAGUGGGGAAUAUUGCACAAUGGGCGCAAGCCUGAUGCAGCCAUGCCGCGUGUGUGAAGAAGGCCUUCGGGUUGUAAAGCACUUUCAGUCAGGAGGAAAGGUUAGUAGUUAAUACCUGCUAGCUGUGACGUUACUGACAGAAGAAGCACCGGCUAACUCCGUGCCAGCAGCCGCGA
rnacentral:rRNA from 1 species